AAAACAUAACCUUUAGCCAAACAAAUAUUAAAGGCAACGCCUGCCCAGUGAACAUUAAACGGCCGCGGUACCCUAACCGUGCAAAGGUAGCAUAAUCAUUUGUCUACUAAUUAUAGACCUGUAUGAAAGGCAAAAUGAGGGUCCAACUGUCUCUUAUAAUGAACCAAUUAAACUGAUCUUCUAGUAAAAAAGCUAGAAUUCUCCCAUAAGACCAGAAGACCCUGUGAAGCUUAAACUAAACCAUUAAACCCAAUAAUAACUACUUUCGGUUGGGGCGACCUUGGAAAAAAAAAGAACUUCCAAAUACACGACUUUUACCUCGAAAUAAACCCAGGCCCACAAGCCACUAAAUAUCGACCCAGCAAAGCUGAUAAACGAACCAAGUUACUCCAGGGAUAACAGCGCAAUCUUCUUCAAGAGCCCAUAUCAAAAAGAAGGUUUACGACCUCGAUGUUGGAUCAGGACAUCCUAAUGGCGCAGCCACUAUUAAGGGUUCGUUUGUUCAACGAUCAAUAGUCCUACGUGAUCUGA
rnacentral:rRNA from 1 species